rnacentral:rRNA from 1 species
CAACAGGGAUUGCCUCAGUAACGGCGAGUGAAGCGGCAACAGCUCAAAUUUGAAAGCUGGCCCCCCCGGGGGUCCGCGUUGUAAUUUGUAGAGGAUGAUUCGGCGAGGGCUCCCGCCUAAGUCCCCUGGAACGGGGCGUCAUAGAGGGUGAGAAUCCCGUAUGCGGUGGGCUGCCUUAGCCAUGUGAAUCUCCUUCGACGAGUCGAGUUGUUUGGGAAUGCAGCUCUAAAUGGGAGGUAAAUUUCUUCUAAAGCUAAAUACCGGCCAGAGACCGAUAGCGCACAAGUAGAGUGAUCGAAAGAUGAAAAGCACUUUGGAAAGAGAGUUAAAAAGUACGUGAAAUUGUUGAAAGGGAAGCGCUUGCAGCCAGACUUGUCCGCAGUUGCUCAGCCGGUCUCCUGACCGGCGCACUCUUCUGCGGCCAGGCCAGCAUCAGUUCGGGCGGUCGGAUAAAGGCCCCGGGAACGUAGCUCCUCUCGGGGAGUGUUAUAGCCCGGGGUGGAAUGCGGCCAGCCUGGACUGAGGAUCUCGCUUCGGCUAGGAUGCUGGCGUAAUGGCUGUAAGCGGCCCGUCUUGAAACACGGACCAAGGAGUCUAACAUCUAUGCGAGUGUUUGGGUGUCAAACCCAUGCGCGUAAUGAAAGUGAACGGAGGUGGGAACCCUCGCGGGUGCACCAUCGACCGAUCCUGAUGUCUUCGGAUGGAUUUGAGUAAGAGCAUAGCUGUUGGGACCCGAAAGAUGGUGAACUAUGCCUGAAUAGGGUGAAGCCAGAGGAAACUCUGGUGGAGGCUCGCAGCGGUUCUGACGUGCAAAUCGAUCGUCAAAUUUGGGUAUAGGGGCGAAAGACUAAUCGACAUC